rnacentral:rRNA from 1 species
GACGAACGCUGGCGGCGUGCUUAACACAUGCAAGUCGAACGGAAAGGCCCUGCUCUUGCGGGGUGCUCGAGUGGCGAACGGGGGUGUAACACGUGAGUAUACCGCCCCUGUCUGUGGGAGAACUUCUGGGAACAGGGGCUAAUACCGGAUAGGAGCUCCUGCUCCACGGUGGGCGUUGGAAAGUUUCGGCGGUAGGGGCUCGACUCGCGGCUUAUCAGCUGGUUGGUGGGGUAGUGGCUUACCAAGGUUUCGACGGGUAGCCGGCCUGAGAGGGUGACCGGCCACCUUGGUCCUACGAGACGGACCAGUCUCCUACGGGAGGCAGCAGUGGGGAGUAUUGCACAACGGGCGGAAGCCUGUUGCGGCAACGCCGCGUGCGGGAUGCCGGCCUUCGGGUUAUAAACCUAUUUCGCCUGUGACGAAGCGUGAUUGACGGUAAUGGGUAAAGAAGCACCGGCUAACUACGUG